UAUAGUGGCAAUUAAAAAACUUCGUUUAUAUAAACUCCUCUCCUUCAAAGAGAAAAAUAGUAAUAAAAUUCUCCUUCCUCCACAGGUGUAUUGGGUCUUCUCAUGGUGUCUGGCCUUCCUUCAGGGUCGUCUCUCCUAACUGGAGUCAGUGCUGGAGCGGCUGAGCAGUGCCCACGCUUUCCUCUUGUCUGUCCGUCCGUCUGGUUGUGGCCUAAGUUCGCAAAGCGAACACCAACAGCAGUAAGGGCUCCUUUCCGCCCAAAAAGUCUAGAAUCUUUACCCCCUGGCCCUAGGUUGAGCUCGACCUAACAGCUGAGGACAGCGCCUAUUUAUUCUAGCGCUGUGUUACUAAUAGAAAGGAAAUAUGUGUGUCAAGGUCCUGUCCGUCCGUCUGAGUUCACGUAUACGUCCCGCAAUAGUGUUCGUGAGGAAAAGGGUACCUGCAGCACUGUCGGCUGACCAGUGCUUUUGAUAUAGAGCUUCCCACGAUGGACAGAGGAGGUGGAGGUGUAGCUUUAUGUUUCCGCGUUUGGCUUUUUGUUAUUUUGUGAUCAACUUUAGUGGUGUCUAUUGUCUUUGAUUUUCAAGUUUAGGAUUUUUAACUAUUGACUUAGAUUUAGUUUUUAGUUUUUUUUUUUUUCUUUUUAGGUCUUUUAUUAUUACAUUGGUAUUUUCCUUUUUUUUCAGGUUCUUUGGCUUUGUUUCGAAACUUUUCCCUUUUCAGGUUCCUUUUUAUUUAAUUUGAUAACAUUUCUUUCUUUUCCAGAGUUUUCAUAGAUUUUCUUUUUCAGCU